UAGCUCAGUCGGUAAAGAAUCUGCCUGCAAUGCAGGAGAUCCAGGUUCGAUUCCUGG
rnacentral:tRNA from 1 species